AUUUAGCAUGUUCUAUCUCACUCAUUAUUACCCAACCAAAUAUAAAAAUGUAAGCAAUGCACCACAUGUCUGAAUUCAACACUGAAUUCUGUCUGUACGUGUGUCAAUAAAUAAAUGUGUCGUUGUCACGGCUGCUGCUAACCUAUGACACUUGCGGCUCUUUCUGACAGAACCUGUCAGUAUGCUAACGGUUAGCUAUCAAGCCAAAGAGAGCUCCAGGAGGGUCAUUAUCAGUCAGGCACGGUGGAAAUGCCGAUAUAAAAGGUCAUAUUAAGACGGCCAAACAUAAGCAGUGGUUUCCCUGAGAGCUCCAGAAAAGAAACUCUAACUAAGAAGAAAGACUGCAAAGCAUGAAGUACCUGGCAAUCUUCUUAAAGUGAAGGCGGUGAUGGAGCAGGACGACACGUUGAUGCCCAGGUACUGCAGAAAUCGAUCUGAUCUGCCAUCAUGAGUGGCGUUCCAAUGCUCUCAUUUCUACUCCAGGAGGAUCCAGGAGCUAGAACUGGUUCCUGAGGAGGCUUGAGCAAGGAUACACAAGCCCAACCCAAUCCAUCGGUGACUUGUGUGUACAGCUGUUUGGGAACUUUUAAGUGCAUCAACACAAUACUGCAAUUUGUAGAUUUGAUUUGUUUUCUGUUCACAAUCUUAAAACUAGUGGAUGUGUAUUAUGUUGCGAUUAAAUAAGGACACAUAAAACAAUUUUCAUCAUUCA